rnacentral:tRNA from 1 species
GGAGAGGUGCCGGAGUGGUCGAACGGGGCGGUCUCGAAAACCGUUGUACGUGCAAGCGUACCGAGGGUUCGAAUCCCUCCCUCUCCG